CAGCAGCCACGGUAAUACGAGGGGUGCAAGCGUUAUUCGGAUUGAUUGGGUGUAAAGGGUGUGCAGACGGCUUAUUAAGUCACUUGUUAAAUUCUUCGGCCUAACUGAAGGUCUGCAAGUGAUACUGAUGAGCUAGAGGGUGGAAGAGAGAAGUGGAAUUCUCGGAGUAGCGGUAAAAUGCGUAGAUCUCGAGAGGAACACCAAUGGCGAAGGCAGCUUCUUGGUCCAUCCCUGACGUUCAUACACGAAAGCGUGGGGAGCAAACAGGAUUAGAUACACCGGUAGUCCCUGUCUCUUAUAC
rnacentral:rRNA from 1 species